CCUGCUGCAACGUGAACGUGCGGUCUGCUGCAAACGGGAGCGAGUUUAUUGCUUCUGGACGGAAAAUGUUUGUGCAAGCUUGUGAUUUCAGCGAUUCUACAUCCAGAACAAAUUGUUUAAACACAGUCACAACAACAACAACUAUAUAUUGUGUUUGUUCAAAUGUGUAUAAAUGAGCUAGUUACUUACUCUUAUUAGGACGGAAGUAUUGUAUGUACUCUUACUAUAUUGUGAUUAUCGAACUGUGUACAUGGACAUAUUUUAGUAAACGUUGCUCUGAAGUUAUUGUAUAUUUUAUCUGCUCUUACUGCAUUGUGAAAUAUGUAUAUUUUGUGAGAGCUGUAAGUCGCCCUGAGUGAGGGCGUCUGCUAAGAAAAUGAAUAAGAAAAAGAGGAAGAAAACAAAACGCAACGGAAUUAUUUCUUAAAUCGUGAAGUCACGCCCGUGACGAGGACAAUAGAAACAGGUCAUCUUAACGAAGAUUAUGGAUCCAACAAUGUACAGGGAAAUAUUACUGUACAAGACAAUGGGAAAAUACCCCGAGAAGGCCAGGAAGGGGGAAAAAUUCAUCAUCCGGAGGCGUGCAGGACAAUAUGUGGUUCAAGAUGGAGAGCUCUAUUAUAUAUGUAAGAAGGGUACAGAGCCAUCAAUGAAGGUGAAGGUGGUCAAAGGCACUGAAGAGGCAGACAGUCUCUUCCUGGAAUUUCAUGCAAGUGCUAUAGGGGCACACUGUGGCCAACACAGAACCAGAGAGGCAAUUUCCUCCAGAUAUUACUGGCCUGGAAUGAGUUCCGAUAUUGAUAAUUGGGUGGGUGCUUUUUGAGUGCAGUACAUGACCUACACCAGUAUCCAAUACAAUAACUAGAGAGAUCAAUCGGUUUUUGGUUAUAAAAAUUAAUAAAUGAAAAGGAAGUUUAAACAACAGCUCAACUGAGUUUUCUUAACAUUGAAAAAUCUUACACUGUGUUAUAAACUUUAAAAACAUUUUUAUGCAAGUGCCAUCCUGUUAGAGGCUAUGAGACUGACACCAGCUGUUUGCUAUAUACCUGGUAACAUUUCAUUAAAUUAACAAAAAUAUUUUCCAAUAAUUCACAGUUUGGUAACAUAAUAUGAAAGCGACAUGUCGUGGAAUUCUAAAUAAAAGGAAGAGAGACUGCGAGUUCCAAACACACAGGCCUUUAUUUCUUAAGUUUGCAAACUGAAAACACUCUCAACACACAGGGUGCUAGAUAAUCAUCGAGCAGUGUUUCAACAUACAGAGUUAGAUCAGUUUCUUAUAUACCUUAAAACUGUCAGCAAGGCAGAGGGUUAGCCAAUGAUGAUUCAGAUAUUAGCAUAUAAGGAAAAACAACUUAUAACUGUGCAUACCUGGCAUAUAGCUAAGCAAACAGAUAACAGGAUGGGUGGUUUGGGUGUACGUACAAAGAAACAAGUCUGGCUCAUCCUGUUAUCUUCACAGCCACAGCUGCAGUGUAGGCAUCUUGCGGUUCCUUGUAACAAACUUUAUCUUAGGCAAAGCAUACAAGGUUAUGCGAGCAAGGUUAUAGGAGUACAAAAUGCCAGUACAUUAUGUCGAGCCAAUUCUAUUUUUCUGUAACAUAUUCUAUUACAAGCUGCCGUCCCGAGAGCCAGAGGGGGUGGAGCUGCAGUCCCGAGAGCCAGAGGGGGUGGAGCUGCCGUCCCGAG